AUUGAACGCUGGCGGAAUGCUUUACACAUGCAAGUCGAGCGGCAGCGCGGGGGCAACCUGGCGGCGAGCGGCGAACGGGUGAGUAAUGCAUCGGAACAUGUCCAUGUCGUGGGGGAUAGCCCGGGCGAAAGCCGGAUUAAUACCGCAUAUGCCCGAGAGGGGAAAGCCGGGGACCGCAAGGCCUGGCGCGAUUGGGUUGGCCGAUGUCCGAUUAGCUAGUUGGCGGGGAAGAGCCCACCAAGGCGAUGAUCGGUAGCUGGUCUGAGAGGAUGAUCAGGCCACACUGGGACUGGAGACACGGCCCAGACUCCUACGGGAGGCAGCAGUGGGGAAUUUUGGACAAGUGGGGGAAACCCUGAUCCAGCCAUUCCGCGUGGAGGAUGAAGG
rnacentral:rRNA from 1 species